GACCUCAGAUCAGGCAAGACU
rnacentral:rRNA from 2 species